CUGUUAAUUGCAGAUGGAAUUUCAGGACUAAUAAGUACGUAACUACAGGCCAUUGUUAGGUGAAGCUUUUAUACAUUUACUGUACAUCAUCUAAGAUGCCUACUGCUCUCAGGUCUUCAAACAGCAAUCACAUUAUGGUCAAUUGUGUAGAAUGCUGCAAUUGGUCGAGCAUAGCCAGAUGCCAUAUUUUCCAUUUGCUUGAACUGUUGGACACAAAGGAGAUUCAUUUGUAAAGGAGUGGGACGAUUAAGCUGAAUUGCUCGCAAGAAGACAGUUUUAUACCACAAAUUCAUCUUGGCGUAAGGUUGUUGGCUGAAUGAAAGGUGUAGUAUUCUUACGGAAUCUGCUGCUUCCCUCUGUUGCUGUGUUCUUAUAAAGUCGGCAGAAAUCAACCACUUCACUUCUGUAAACGUAAAUUUUCCAUAAGAUAAAUAUCAGAGCUAAUCAGUAUGCUUUUCAAAAUAUAUUUGUUGGGAGAAUAAUAUUUUUAGACCAUGGUCUAAUCUUCUUCCCAAUUUGUCUAACAAUUAUGUAUUAUGAAUAUUUAUGAUCUUAACAGCAAAUCCAGGGCCCAGUUUGCGCUAGUAAUUUUACAUUUUUCCUGAUGUUUUAGGUUUUUGCCAAAAUUACUUGAAGCUUGUAGUAACUACACUACUUUUUUGCACAUAUCUUUUUUAAAAAAAACCUUUACUUUACAUUCUUCUUUAAAGUUCUUUACAGAAAUAACGCUUUUAUGGGUCUACUGAGGUGGAAGACAUGAAAAACCACACUGGCAAUAUUGAAAGUUUCUCUCCUCCAUUUGAGAAAGUCAAGAGACAAGGGACAUUGGAGCCAAGACAAGGAAAGUAGUAGCAACUCGUUGAAUUCAACUUUCUUUCACAAGAAAACUAUUUUUGGCGGCUGAAGACCAAGUUUCUCUUCCAUUUGAGAAAAGCCAAGAGAAAAGGGACAUCUUGGAGCAAAGACAAAGUACAUGAAUUUCAGAAGAGAGAAGGGUAAGAAAAGUUUCUUCUCCAUUUGAGAAAGUUAAGAAAAGGGAUAUCUUAAGAGCCAAGACAAGAAGAAUAACAACUCAUCGAAAAUCAACUUGUCGAAAUUCAACUUUCUUACAAGUGAAAGAAGGGCAUGAAAACCGUUCUUGUCGGUAAUCAUCCAGAAGAGGAAGGGCACAAAAACUGCUCUCUACAGCAGCCGUAGGCCGAGCUCUCCUCCAUAAAAGGAAAGUGAAGAGAAAACAUAAAUCGAGAAAAAAAGGGACAUCUUUGGAGCCAAGACAAGUACUAGUAGCAACUCACUGAAAAAUUCAACUUGAUAAUAGUAGAGAGAAAAGUAAGAAACUCUCUUCAGCAGCCGAUGACCAAGUUUCUCCUCCAUUUGAGAAACUCAAGAGAACUAUCUGUAUUCUUCCUUUAAAAUAAGAAAAGGUCAAGUGACAUCUUAAGAGUAGAGACAAGAAUAUUAGCAACCCCUUGAAAUUAAACUUUCUUACAAGAGAGAGAACUUCAAGAAAACUGUUCUACUCUGAGGUCGUCUAUCUGAGAAAAGACAAGAGAAAACAAAUCUUAAGAGCGCAGACGACAAAAGCAAGGCAUCUAAAUUCAAUUUUCUUACAGAGUGGGAAGGGUACGAAAAACUGCUCUCUUCAGCAGCCAAUGCCAGAGUUUCUCCUCCAUUUGAGAAGACCAGAGAAAUUUUCAGUUCAAGAAAACUGAGUCAAGACAAGGAUAUAGUUGUAGCGACUCUUCUCUCUUUUGUAAGAAAACUGUCACAGCCGGACCAAGUGACUGACUGAAUAGCUUGGGGUUAAUUUCCAUUCAUCCCGCCAUCUUUUGACCUUGAGAUUAAAUCCUUUGUUGCAGUUUGAAGACUGUAUACCUGGAAAAAAUAAAAAGAAUUCUGAAUUUUCAUUAAAACUCUUGGAUGAGGAAAAAUACAUUAAAAGUUCUAUAGAAUUAAGCGGUAUGGAACCACAUCCAAAUGAUCAGCUACUAGUAUGGAAAUAAUUUCACGUCCAUACGAGAUGUAAAGUAAUUUCCUACAGCAAAGACUAAUC